GUUUUCUGCGGAGCUGGCAUUUGGGUUUGGAUUUAAAGGGCAAGAAGGAGCCAGACAAGCCAAGGUGUAAGAGAAGAGUCCUCCAAGCAGCAGGGAAGCAAGUGCAAAGGUCCUUGCAGAAGCGAGCUUGGCAUAUUAGAGGGACAGAGGGAGGCCGGAGCAACUGGAGGGUCUUCAGAGACUAUCAAGUGCCAACAAGGGGAUUACCCCUCUGCCCCUCUAAAGGAUUGCAAGAAAGAAGACACCAAAUCCAUGGCAUUUUUUCCCUUAGGAAAGAAGGGAGAUAAUGAGAAGCCUCCACUUGGUAUUCCUUGGAGCAGCUGGAAGCUAAAAACCAAAUGUGGGAACUGUGAAUCCUAUCUCUGGGAUAUGUUUUCUCAGGAAAUGGAGGAAAUGGGUGGGCACGGGUGGCAAAAUAUUCCAGGGGAAUACUUCUUCCUGGGCCUUGUGGGGAACAACUCCCAAAAGGCCAGUGGUUCUCAGCUUUAAGCCUGUGUUAGAAUCACCUGCAGGGCUUAUUAAAACACAGAUUGCCGGGCCUUACCCCCAGAGUUUGAUUUAGUAUUUCUGGGAGUUGGAUCUAUAAUUUGCAUUUCUGAAAGUUCCCAGGUGAUACUGAUGCUCCUGGUCCCAGGACCACAGACAAAUUCUCCUUCUUGUAGCCCCUCAUUCACUCUGCGUAGGAGGCAUGGCUCAUCUGGCUGGUGGGUUUGGGAGGAGGAGCAGACCAUGCUCAGUUAGCCCUCCCCACUCUCCCUUUCUCUCUCUCCCCAUCGCCCUAGCUGCAGAGCAUAUUCAGACAGCUCUCCAAUCAGUUCAUCAGUAAUAAAGGUGACAUGCUGAUCCUCAUCUGUUUUUCUCUUGCAUCUGCCAAUUGAUUCUGCACUUGAGAGGGGAAUAAGUAUAUUUAUUUAUUGGGUUUCCCUCAAAUUCCAACAGAGAAGUUGGUAUCAGUUGCAAAACAAUCAACUGGCAUCCGGGCCACACAGCAGCAUAGGAAUCUUGGUUUUAGCUUCCACUAAAAUAUCAAUUAUUUGAGGGCAAAAAAUGUCCAAUUCCUGGGCCUUUAAGAUAGGAAGUCAGGUCUGUGGAUGGGGUGAGGUCACCAGGAUGAGGUCACAAAGGCAUUGAUGCCCCUUUGUCCUAUCAUGUGACCACUUGUCACACUUCCAUCAAACAGUACCUGCCCCUUAGGUGUGCUAGGGAAUAAAUGAAAUGCCUGGGACAUCAUCGUUAAGUGGCAUCUGAUGCAUAAGCAGUGCCCUAGGAAUGGGGUUGCCUGCCUUGGUCUCUAAAGGAUGGGUUCAAAAGGCAAGAGCAGCACACAAGAAGAUAGCUUCAAGCAGGAGAUAAAGCUUGGCCCAGGGCCCAAAGGGGAUACGACCCUUCAGCAAACUGACAUGCUGAAAGCUGCCCUAUGGAGAGGCUCAUGUGGCAAGGAACAGAGGGUGGCUUCUGGCCAACACCCAGUGAGGAACUCAGGCCCUCAGUCAAACAGCCUGCAAGGAACUGAACCCUGCCAAUAACCGCAGUGUCAGCCCCCGGCCAAUGACCACCAUGGACCUCCCUGUAGUUGAACAAAGUUGGGUUUGCUGACUGGUGGCAGUGAGGGAGAAUGCACACCACAGGGAGCUGUGCAGUGUCUCAGUAAGAAGGAGCCAUCCCGUGAGGCCGUUACUGCAAACAAGCUGAAAAUCCUGCUUUGUUUCUUUUGGACACAACAUGCUUUCCUUCAGCUUCAGUAGACGAUGAGGCCAGCACCACAUGGGCUAGAUGUACAUGAGAUGUGAGCAACCACACUUCCCCUCUGACGGGGACAGACAGCAUCACAGGACAUGAAGUUCUAAGAGGUUCAGUGACUUGUCUAAGAUUAAACAGCUAUGAAUGGAGAACUGGAGGCAAAUGCCUCAUCAUCUCUCACCUGGGCAACUGCAACAAUGAGCAGUUUGUGUCUGUGCCUGCAUCCAUCCUUCCAUCCUGUACUCCAGCAGCAGCCAGGGUGGUCUUUCAAAAAUGCAAAGCUGAUAAUGUUACUCCCCUGCUGUAAACCUUCCAGCGGUUUCCUAUUGCCUUCAGAAUAAAAUACGAAUCAUCUGGCCUCCAUCUAUCUCUCCAGGCUCAUCCUCUCUCAAUUUUCCAUAUCCUUCAGGCUGAGCUCUGAAACUUCUCCUGGCAGUUCAAGAGAGCGAUGGAGGGAAUGCUGGGGCACAUCUAAAUAAAGCCUCCAAGUGGGAGUUCCUGCUCAGCUAUGCAUGAGCUCUUUGUGACUUCAUCUCCCAGCCUACAACUUGUGAAAUAAGCACGACUUCACUCAGAGCACAGCCAGAAACAUACAAACUUUCCAAAAAUAUUUGAAUGUUGACAGCAGACUGUCUUGCAUUCCAGUGAAUAAUUGGUUUGUAUGAGUGUGUGUGUGACCUAAAUCCACAGAACUUACCAUUCUGUGGCUAUAC
rnacentral:lncRNA from 10 species